rnacentral:SRP_RNA from 1 species
CGCCAGGAACCAUGCGAGGAGAUGCCGCCCAACUCCGCCAGGUCCGGAAGGAAGCAACGGUAAGCGGAGGUCUGCUGCGCCGUGGCAGCCCUGGCAGGG